rnacentral:rRNA from 1 species
CGCCUUGCCAGCCCGCUCAGAACUUAAAGGAAUUGACGGGGCCCGCACAAGCGGUGGAGUAUGUGGUUUAAUUCGAUGCAACGCGAAGAACCUUACCUGGUCUUGACAUCCCGGAGACCCUUAGGAAACUAGGGGGUGCUUCCAUCUGGAAGAAUCUGGAGACAGGUGCUGCAUGGCUGUCGUCAGCUCGUGUCGUGAGAUGUUGGGUUAAGUCCCGCAACGAGCGCAACCCUUGCCUUUAGUUGCCAGCAGUUCGGCUGGGCACUCUAAAGGGACUGCCGGUGUUAAACCGGAGGAAGGGGGGUUUAUGACGUCAAGUCCUCAUGGCCUUUAUGACCAGGGCUACACACGUACUACAAUGGCCGAUACAAAGGGCAGCGACACUGCGAGGUGAAGCCAAUCCCGUAAAAUCGGUCUCAGUCCGGAUUGGAGUCUGCAACUCGACUCCAUGAAGUUGGAUUCGCUAGUAAUCGCGCAUCAGCCAUGGCGCGGUGAAUACGUUCCCGGGCCUU